UGGUGACCGUAGGGCUGGCUUUGUCGCGCUGCUGCCCGUCUACAGCCUGUGUAUUUGAAAGUCAGCAGUUGGCAUACGUAUACAUAAUAUUGUCUAAAUAUUUGUUGUAUUUUGGCACUAUUGGAAGCCAUUAUUGAGUAAACUAAAAUAAUUAAUUCUGGAUUUUUUUACACAGUUAUUCAAGGAAAUGCUAAACAGGAAUAAAUGUUAAAAAAAAUUAAGAUCUUAAAUAGGAAUAGAGAUCCUAAUAAGUUUAGUUGACAAAAGAACAACGCUUGCAAAUCGUGCAAAUUUAUUUCGAAAA
rnacentral:misc_RNA from 1 species